rnacentral:rRNA from 1 species
UCGAGGAUCUUCGGCAAUGGACGAAAGUCUGACCGAGCAACGCCGCGUGUGCGAUGAAGGCCUUCGGGUUGUAAAGCACUGUCGAGGGGAAACAAGCCGUAAGGUUGAGUGACCCCUGGAGGAAGCACGGGCUAAGUUCGUGCCAGCAGCCGCGGUAAGACGAACCGUGCAAACGUUAUUCGGAAUCACUGGGCUUAAAGGGCGCGUAGGCGGGUGAUCAAGUCAAUGGUGAAAUCCUCCAGCUUAACUGGAGAAGUGCCUUUGAUACUGAUUGUCUAGAGGGAGGUAGGGGCAUGUGGAACUUCAGGUGGAGCGGUGAAAUGCGUAGAUAUCUGAAGGAACGCCAGUGGCGAAAGCGAUGUGCUGGACCUCUUCUGACGCUGAGGCGCGAAAGCUAGGGGAUCAAACGGGAUUAGAUACCCCGGUAGUCCUAGCCCUAAACUAUGGGUACUAGAUUGUGGACUUUCAUGGGUUCACAGUCGAAGCAAAAGUGUUAAGUACCCCGCCUGGGGAGUAUGGUCGCAAGGCUG